UACGUAGGGGGCGAGCGUUGUCCGGAAUUGUUGGGCGUAAAGAGCGUGUAGGCGGUUCGGUAAGUCUGCUGUGAAAUCCUGGGGCUCAACCCUGGGCGUGCAGCGGAUACUGCCGGGCUAGAGGGUGGUAGAGGCGAGUGGAAUUCCGAGUGUAGCGGUGAAAUGCGCAGAUAUUCGGAAGAACACCAGUGGCGAAGGCGGCUCACUGGCCCGGUACUGACGCUGAGAUACGAAAGCGUGGGGAGCAAACAGG
rnacentral:rRNA from 1 species